rnacentral:rRNA from 1 species
UACGGAGGGUGCAAGCGUUAUCCGGAUUUAUUGGGUUUAAAGGGUCCGUAGGCGGAUCUGUAAGUCAGUGGUGAAAUCUCACAGCUUAACUGUGAAACUGCCAUUGAUACUGCAGAUCUUGAGUGUUAUUGAAGUAGCUGGAAUAAGUAGUGUAGCGGUGAAAUGCAUAGAUAUUACUUAGAACACCAAUUGCGAAGGCAGGUUACUAAGCAACAACUGACGCUGAUGGACGAAAGCGUGGGGAGCGAACAGG